GACGAACGCUGGCGGCGUGCUUAACACAUGCAAGUCGAACGGUGAAGCGCCUUCCUUUUUGGUGGGUGUGGAUGAGUGGCGAACGGGUGAGUAACACGUGAGUAACCUGCCCCCUUCUUCUGGAUAACCGCAUGAAAGUGUGGCUAAUACGGGAUAUUCUGGGUCUGUCGCAUGAUGGGUCUGGGAAAGAUAUUGUUUCGGGGGGGGAUGGGCUCGCGGCCUAUCAGCUUGUUGGUGGGGUGAUGGCCUACCAAGGCGGUGACGGGUAGCCGGCCUGAGAGGGUGGACGGUCACACUGGGACUGAGACACGGCCCAGACUCCUACGGGAGGCAGCAGUGGGGAAUAUGGCACAAUGGGCGCAAGCCUGAUGCAGCGACGCCGCGUGAGGGAUGGAGGCCUUCGGGUUGUGAACCUCUUUCGCCAGUGAAGCAGGCCUGCCUCGUUUGUGGGUGGGUUGACGGUAGCUGGAUAAGAAGCGCCGGCUAACUACGUG
rnacentral:rRNA from 1 species